GACGAACGCUGGCGGCGUGCUUAACACAUGCAAGUCGAGCGGUAAGGCCCUUUCGGGGGUACACGAGCGGCGAACGGGUGAGUAACACGUGGGUGACCUGCCCUCAGCUCUGGGAUAAGCCUGGGAAACCGGGUCUAAUACCGGAUAUGACUCCAUGACGCAUGUUGUGGGGUGGAAAGCCUUGUGCGGCUGAGGAUGGGCCCGCGGCCUAUCAGCUUGUUGGUGGGGUGAUGGCCUACCAAGGCGACGACGGGUAGCCGGCCUGAGAGGGCGACCGCCACACUGGGACUGAGACACGGCCCAGACUCCUACGGGAGGCAGCAGGUGGGGAAUCUUGCGCAAUGGGCGAAAGCCU
rnacentral:rRNA from 1 species